AGCUCCAAUAGCGUAUAUUAAAGUUGUUGCAGUUAAAAAGCUCGUAGUUGGAUAUCUGGGUGGAGCGACCGGUCCGCCUCGCAAGGGGUGUGUACUAGCGCCGUCUCCGUCCAUCUUUGUCGAGAGUGGCGCUGGCAUUAAGUUGUUGGCGUCAGGAUCGGCAUCAUUUACUGUGAAAAAAUUAGAGUGUUCAAAGCAAGCUACCGCUUGUAUACUUCAGCAUGGAAUAAUAAGAUAAGACUUAGGUCGGAUUUUGUUGGUUUAGCCGCUUAGGUAAUGAUUAAUAGGGAUAGUUGGGGGUAUUUAUAUUUAAUUGUCAGAGGUGAAAUUCUUGGAUUUAUGAAAGAUAAACUACUGCGAAAGCAUUUACCAAGGAUGUUUUCA
rnacentral:rRNA from 1 species